rnacentral:lncRNA from 1 species
CUUGCAUUUAUAUCCUUCUGAACAUUUUAACUAACACUGGGGAUAGCCCAUGCCCUGAUUGCUUUUAAUGUAGGACUUUUAGAAAAUUGUAAUUUUAAGAGUUCCUAAAGGUUUAUUGGUUUGUCAUGUCUGCACGGAUCCAGUUAUGCAUAACUCUUAAAAUUUCAAGCUUUAAAAUAAGAUCCACAAUUGCAUUGCCGCGACAUGGCUGCAAAGCUUGCUGUUCGAGUUUUGGCCCUACAGUUGUCAUUGUGUAAAUCAAGUGCAAAAGAGGUUAUUCCUGUUUAUUUAGUGUAAUAACUGUUUACAGUUAAUACUUUAAAGACUCAUAAAAGUAGGUCUGCUGUAUUUUAAAGAUCUCAUCAUUCUUGUGGGUGAGACACAACACCGGCGCUAGGAAAGGCAACAGAUUGCUUCUGUCAUAUCGCUUUGCUGUUUUGGAGUGUACUUAAAGGAUUAUGAUUGAUAAGGCUGUCUUGCCAGAGAAUGUUGACACAGAAUCUACAGUUCAUAAUGGAGCUACUGUACUGGCUAUCGGAAGGAGGAGAUUCAGAAGAUAGGGAGAUUCAGCUGUUGGGGUUUGAAACUUCCUGUGGUCUGUUCAAUCUAGACGCAAAGGACCUGAAACAGUCAAGUGCUCAAGAGGUUUAAAUUGUUUUGGAUAUUCCUAUUUAUAGACAAAUAUUUUUCCAAUUCAGAUCCUCAGUUGUUUUGCAGAAGAAGGUCAUACUCUUCUUGAUCAUCCAUUUUAUUUGAAAUGAUUAGUAUUGUAGAGUAUUACCAAACACUUUCUGUUUGAAUCUAAGUAUAGAAAAAAUAAAAUUGUUUCUAUAUGUUGACUUUUUUUCUAAAAUGUCUUUAUUGGAUCAAAUGAAUGUUUAUACUUGAAAAAGAGGGGUCCCAAAAAAUCCAUCCCUCUGUCAUAGUGAUUCUUCUAGCAGUCCAGCGUCACUGAUACAACUAUUACGUUUAUGGGAGAAGAAAGACUUGAAAGGAAUCCAGACAUAUAUUUUACUUCUCUAUAUUAGUCCCCCUGGAAUAGAACAUUUCUGCUCACAAAAUCUGUUUGCUCAACUCAGUUACCAGAAAAUGUUGCCUUAACGGGCAGAUCAUUUGUUAUGUGUUUGAAUAUUUGACUUAUGUAAAGGAGGUGACAUCCCG